GGGGGGGGGGGAUGGGGGGGGCUGACAAUUUUUAAAGUUAGAUUAUUCAUUUAUUCUCAUGCCGUUAAAGGGCAAAUUCUUCAUUUCCACGAUGAUCAGAGACAGAUUACCUAUUUUUUCUUACCUUCAAAAAGGAAAAUUACAUAACUCAAAAACUCUUUAUUUUGUGUGAAGGGGGGGGGGUUAAAAUAGCACCAGACAGGGACAGAUUACAGUUGAGGACAGAUGAUUUAUUUUCAUAAUUUUUGAAGACACGUUAUACAUUUCUAAAACCUGCUUUUCUUUUGUAAUAUAAAGUCAAGUUCCUUUCUCAUAUUUGGUUGUUGUUUCUUUUUCUUAUUUGUUUUUUUUUUUAAUUUAUUCAUUUAUUUUUUGUAAUUCAAAGUUAAAGGAAAAUCUAUUGUAUAAUUGCCUAUUAUAUUACAAUAUUUCUUUUCAGACACUGAUUUACAAAUUAACGCCUCUUUACUUUAUUGAUCCUUGAUUUUAUGCUACUCAAAUAUAGAUUCCAAAUACCGGAAGUUGUCGUCUGAAGUAGAGUUAUCUUUUCUUGGCCUAAGAGUUCAAAACUGUGCAGCAAGCUGGGAUUUUAUGUGGAUAAAAACUAUUUACAUUGGGAAUAUUUGGAAUAUUUGAGUCUGGAUAAGUUCUAGGACAUCAUUUGCAUUAGUGCAUACGAGGAUUUGUGUAACUUUUUUCAUAUCACUGCGACAUAGGAUACGGACAUGUAGACAGAUAACAGGCACCAGUAAAAAAAAAAACCAACCAAAUCAACCCAAAAAUGUAACAUUUGUAAAGGGUUCAGAAAGAGUAGACAACUUCAAAGAUUUCUUAAUAAAGUUUUACAAUGAUUUUUAUAUUUCUACAUUGUUUGUAUUCAUUGGCCCAUUAAUUAAAGAAUGAUGUGGCGUA